AAAUUGAAGAGUUUGAUCAUGGCUCAGAUUGAACGCUGGCGGCAGGCUUAACACAUGCAAGUCGAACGGUAACAGGAAGCAGCUUGCUGCUUUGCUGACGAGUGGCGGACGGGUGAGUAAUGUCUGGGAAACUGCCUGAUGGAGGGGGAUAACUACUGGAAACGGUGGCUAAUACCGCAUAACGUC
rnacentral:rRNA from 1 species